rnacentral:rRNA from 1 species
GAUGAACGCUGGCGGCGUGCCUAAUACAUGCAAGUCGAGCGAACGGACGAGAAGCUUGCUUCUCUGAUGUUAGCGGCGGACGGGUGAGUAACACGUGGAUAACCUACCUAUAAGACUGGGAUAACUUCGGGAAACCGGAGCUAAUACCGGAUAAUAUUUUGAACCGCAUGGUUCAAAAGUGAAAGACGGUCUUGCUGUCACUUAUAGAUGGAUCCGCGCUGCAUUAGCUAGUUGGUAAGGUAACGGCUUACCAAGGCAACGAUGCAUAGCCGACCUGAGAGGGUGAUCGGCCACACUGGAGCUGAGACACGGUCCAGACUCCUACGGGAGGCAGCAGUAGGGAAUCUUCCGCAAUGGGCGAAAGCCUGACGGAGCAACGCCGCGUGAGUGAUGAAGGUCUCCGGAUCGUAAAACUCUGUUAUUAGGGAAGAACAUAUGUGUAAGUAACUGUGCACAUCUUGACGGUACCUAAUCAGAAAGCCACGGCUAACUACGUG